UACGUAGGGUGCGAGCGUUGUCCGGAAUUAUUGGGCGUAAAGGGCUCGUAGGCGGUUUGUCGCGUCUGCCGUGAAAGUCCGGGGCUCAACCCCGGAUCUGCGGUGGGUACGGGCAGACUAGAGUGAUGUAGGGGAGACUGGAAUUCCUGGUGUAGCGGUGAAAUGCGCAGAUAUCAGGAGGAACACCGAUGGCGAAGGCAGGUCUCUGGGCAUUAAUUGACGCUGAGGAGCGAAAGCAUGGGGAGCGAACAGGAUUAGAACCUACGUAGUCAGUCCAAGACCAGUCUGUCACC
rnacentral:rRNA from 1 species